AAACGUUCAUUUCAGUCAGUUGCACGCUUGCUCCGGAUGUUCGUAAAUACAGCUUUCGUGAGGAAUUGGCCUGGGACACGUUCGGGAGCUGGAAGCUGAAAGAGGAUAUUCGAUAUGAUCACUUUGCUCGUGGCAUGUAAGCUGACAAGAGAUAGCCUACUGAUGAUGCAGAUUCGCAACAACUAGACUUAUAGAAACAAGACUUCAGCAAGAUGCGGAGAGGUGAGUGUGACAAAUGAGAUAAGUUUCAAUAUUGUAUUACUAAAAUAAGAUUUAGUGUUCUCACAUCGUUUUAUUUUAAUAUAUUCAAGUCUAGGUGUUAACAUUCGAACACGUU